ACAACAUUCGGACUGCCGGUCUACCGAGCAAUAUCACCCACUCGGUGGAUGAUCUUCCCUUCGUCGU
rnacentral:pre_miRNA from 1 species